UACGAAGGGGGCUAGCGUUGUUCGGAAUUACAGGGCGUAAAGCGCGCGCAGGCGGUCUUCCAAGUCAGUGGUGAAAGCCCGGAGCUCAACUCCGGAACUGCCAUUGAAACUGUAAGACUUGAGGAUGAGAGAGGUGAGUGGAAUUCCCAGUGUAGAGGUGAAAUUCGUAGAUAUUGGGAAGAACACCGGUGGCGAAGGCGGCUCACUGGCUCAUUACUGACGCUCAGGCGCGACAGCGUGGGGAUCAAACAGG
rnacentral:rRNA from 1 species